GAGAGGGGGAGUAGAGGCAGAGAAUUGGGAGAGAGUUACUGCAGGAUACUACAAAGAGAGAGGGGGAGUAGAGGCAGAAGACGAGUGCAGCACAAAGAAUUAGAAAGUGAACACAGACGGUUAAAGAGAGGAAAACUGCUGUGAAGACAGACAGACUGACAACACAGAGAAAUACAGACACAGAGACGUCAAAGAACAAAAGACAAUAUUUUAGUCCAACUGGAAAACUGGAGCAAGUGAAUUAUUAGGUGAAGAGCCAGAACAGCGGAGAUGAGACCACACGAACGAGAGGAGUAAGAAGACGGGCAGGGUGAGAGAGAGAGAGAGAGAGAGAAAAGACAAUCCAUCCCAGAGCUUUAGGGAAACCAUUUGUUGUUGCUUUGACUCCGUUUGCCAGGGUUUUUAAUGAGAAACGUUGGGAGAAGUAGAUCCAAUCUGUUCUGAAGUUGGAGAGGCGGACUUGUCAAACUCCACAUCGUAAACUCAUUCACUCCAAAGUUUGACCAACAUUACCCUCUGUGUGUGAGACCUGACCAGGCCAAGGGGAAAUCCAAGAUGGAGGUGAGGGAGGAGGUGUUGCACAUCCUGAAUAAGGUGUGGACUAAACUGCAGAACCUCCCUCAGGCCAACUCACUGGAGCUGGGGGCGUUCUUCAUCAUCAUCCUGUUCGUCGCUACAUUCUUGUUUAUUAUUGUGCUGUCCUGCGUUCGCUGCUGUUGCUGUGGAAAGCUUAAAUCCCGAGUCCAGCCCUUACAGUCUGUCUGAGGAGGAGACAUUGGCCCUGUUACAUUAUAUAGAACAUUUAAGGCAGGGAGGAAACAGCAAUCCCAGGGAAGAACUAGUCUUAGAAUCACCUGGACAAUGUAGCUUGGAGGGGACAGACAGACUGCUCUGCAACCAGCCUGAGGAAUCUGUGUGUGUAUAAAGACUGAUGAGCAAUGGCCGACUCAUUAACACUACGUAGCAGUAGCUUUAAACAGACAAUGACACUCUAUAAACAGAGAACUGUGAACAUUGCUUCUGUGCUGUUGUUUUGUCUGAGGACACAAACCACUCCGAGUUUUAUCCUGCUUUCUCAUGUGAUUUGACCUGGAAGAGCCGAUAGGUUUUAUGUUGUGUGUUUUGUAGGUCUAUAGAAGGAAACAUUUUUUUUUUUUAACUCCCUCAGAUUUCAAUCUUGUUGUGUUUAACAAAGUUGUUUUAAUGUCCAGAAUGUAAAACCCAUCUCUGUUCUCCUUCAAGAUGACUCUAUAGAAAAUGUACUGAAGUUCCAAACUUGUUUUUGUGUGGCUGUUUUCCAGUGGAAAAGAAGGGACGGUCAUAUAGAGAGUGCUCUCUGCUGGUGCAAUGAACACAAUACAUUUACGCAACUGGUAUAAUAAGUGUGGGGUGACCCACUAUCAAUGGCAAUCCUGGAACAAUUAGGGUUAAAUGCCUUGGGCAAAGACAGGUUUUUCACCUUGUCCCCUCUGGGAUUUGAACUAGUGACUACUGGCCCAGUGCUCUAACCUCUAGGCUGCCUGUCACAGCUGAAAAAAGUGUUGUACAUUAUUGAUGCAGUAUUGUAGAAAUAGUAGUAAUAUCUUGUCACGAACGUUGUUGUAAGAAUCGUACCAAAAUGCAGCGUGGUUUGGGUUCAUCAUCAUUUAUUAUGUGAACCGGCACAAAAACAAUAAAGAGCAACGAAAUGAACGUGUAGCUUUGUCGUGCUCAACGGCAACAAUACAAAAACAAGAUACCACAACCAACAGGUGGGAAAAGGCUGCCUAAAUACGAUCCCCAAUCAGAGACAACGAUAGACAGCUGCCUCUGAUUGAGAACCAUACCAUGCCAACAUAGAAAUACAAAAACUAGAGUACCCACACUAGUCACACCCCGACCUAACCAAAUUAGAGAAUUAAAGGCUCUCUAAGUUCCAGGGCCUGACAUAUCUGUUGCCUUACAGAUGGCAAAUCGUGAUUAUCAUUAGUUAUACUGUUACUGUACCAUCACCGAUUCAUUGUACAUCAAUCAUUUGGAGUGAAACAACCUGUUUUGGGAUUAUAUUCAUCUGUAGUUGUCAUUUGAGGAGCAACAAGUUUAGCUUUACUUAAUGUUUAAGUGCAAAUAAAAUAUAGUACAUUAAAGAAUUUAAAAAAAUUUACAUUGUGAU